CCGGAGGGAUAAACUUUUCCUUAAACAAGUCCUUAAACAACUCUCAAUCGACUGUUCCUCCGGUGACAACAAAUCAUACUCCUGUUUCCACCAGGAUACAAAUUCAUAACCAAAACCAGGUAGUCGUCUCGACCCCUUGUCAGAAGGAAAUUUCCUUUGACUUGCAUAAUCUGAAACAUCUUUUCCAAAUGGUUAAACCGUUACUUCGCUCCCUCAGGUUCAUCAUUCCAUAAGGUGAUUCAAAUUCAAACUCAUAACCCGUCUUAAAAUGUCCCUUUUUAUAAUAGACUGAAUCACCAUAAUAAUAGUUUUCCCUAAACCGCUAUAUUAGGGAGACUAAAUUCCUCUAACUAAGUGGCUUGCUACGAGGCGGUGUAGUUCUGACAGAAUUCACUAGAACUUCUCAAAAUGUCCAAGAUUGCAACCAUGCUCUGAUACCAACUGACACACCCCGUCCCGAAGGAGGGCAUGCUGGCCGUCACGUGAGAGUGACGUAACCAUUUGCACAGUACGGAAGCUUUAAGAUACCAUUUAUAAGUUGAUACACCCGAAGGUGAGUCCUAAUUUGAUCCAUUCUGUCAGAACCCCGCUGAAUUCCUCGUAGCCACCACACCUCAGCUAUUCUUUAACCUGGAGGGGCGCAAAACCAAAAUUGAGUGGGUCAGUAAAACAAUUCUUUUCUAAAUCCAAACAUUUCUCAAAACGUUGUAACCCCUCUCCGUAAAACUUGUAUACUUUCCCAGAAAUGUAAAAUAUAAAUAUACAUAUAUAAUCUCAAACUUCAUUUUUACUAUCUCAACAUUUUUCUUUAUCAAUCAUGCCAUGCCAUGUCUAAUUCAACAGUUAAGUAUGGAUGCAUCAACAAUAAUCAUAUCAGGUGCAAGAAAGUAAUCAACCGGAGGCCCUCUAAUAGCCCUGUACGGUUGAACCUAGAGCUCAAAAUCUAUCACUCUCACUCUGCCGGAGUCACCUAUGUGACCUGUCCGGCCUUCUGCACACAAGUUACGCUCUAGUGCUUUCUCAUCAAUCAUCUGUGCACAUAAUCUAAGGUCACCCACCAGUCGAAAUCUCACUAACACUCUACGACUGGCCCGUCGCACCCACUCCGCGUGGACUAUGCGACCAGCAUCUACUUGGAUCCAAGGCGAGCGUGCGAUGCGGUGAAUACUAUAAGCACUAAACCAUGGUGCAGGAUUUGAGCUCAAUAUACAUCAACAUCAUCAUAACAGUAAUUAAAUACUCACCUGAUACUCACCUGUGCGUCCGCCGCACCAUUCAUUCAUAUGCAUCAUAUCUCAAUUCAUACUUUUCAUAUCAUUUCAUGCAUGGCAAUUCGAUUCACAUUUCUAUAUACUUUUCAUAUACUUUUAUGCAUGGCAUCUCAAUUUACAUUUCAAUAUACUUUUCAUAUAAUUUCAUACAUUGCAUUUAAAGCAUACUUUCAUUAAAUUUCAAUUUCUGGGAAAACGUCAAGUAUAUAUAUAUACGGAAAACAAAACUACCCACUCACCUGGAGUUCGCCCUACAACUCCCUAGCACAAUACGCCAAGGCGUCAUGACGAUCGGCGCCUAAAACAAUAAUCAAUUACAACCUUAGAAUUCAUAUCGAUAGAAUAUAUAACUUAUAUAAAAUACGUCACUACGUAGUUCGAUCCGGAAGAUCCACCACUCAGAUUUUAAAUCCAUAACUUCCAGAGGUCCACAAUAUAUCUCUAGGAUAACCUCCUAAAAUUUCAUUACCAUCCAACGGUCGGAUCGUCAAUUUAUUUUCACCUAAACGCAAAAACUAUAAAACGUUAUUUGAACACCUAACCAACAAUCCUUAAUAACUUUCUCAUACGGUGCUCAAUUUGGGUAUAUGAAUAUACCACAGUGAUCUACUCGACGUCACGGACGUCGACAUAUUUUUAAAAUAAUUUUUUACUGUAGCACGCGCCCCCACGCGCCAAGGAAGGCACGGGUCCACGCGUGCCCACGCGCACCUUCUUCCUCGCGAGUUCGCCGGACUGGUUUUUCUCCGGUGGCCGGAUUCUGGGCAUUUUUCAAAUGCCUUGUUCUCCUUCGUUUUUCACCCAUUUUCUUCGUAUAAUAUAUCAGAUUGAAGCCCCAAACAUGUAGAAUCGCAAUAUACUACUUUAAAGCUCUAAAAACCAGGAAAUCUCACCGGAAAAAUUCCAAGAAAACCGGCCAAAGAUGAACCACGUGAUCCCGGCGUCCAAAUCCUUCAAACGAAGUACUCCGAGCCUCCUUGGGACCUCACUAAGCUCACUAUGAGCUUGGAUUGUCCUAAAAUCAACCAACAAAAAGUUCAUGAAUAGUGCCAAACUCGGACCUCGAGUUUUCAACGCGAAAACAAAGGAUUCCUUACCUGAAAAUGGUGUCUACGUGAUCGUGGAGGCUCCAGGAGUUCGAUGGUGGUCUUAACUCCGUCGUUGGUAUAGAUUUAGGGUGGUUUUGUGGUGGUCCGUGUGAGUUCGAAGGAGAGGGAGAGAGAACUGAGAGUUUCGUGAGGGAGGAAAGAGAGGGAGACAAUGUUACGGGUUAUGGGGAGGGUUUUGAGGUGUGGGGAUCCCACGUGUCCAACCCAAUCCCAAUUUCAUAAAUUCCAACAUAAAAAUCCAAACUUAAGCCUAGUUUAAGUUCCUAAAACCAAAUAACUUAGGAACUUUAAGUAAAACCAAUUGUUAAAUUUUCGCCCCUUAGUCCCGUUUAAGGGCAUUUUUGUCUUUUCACGUCCUCGGAAUUAAAAUUCCGGGACGGGCUGUGACAAUCUUCCCUCCUUAUAGAAUUUCGUCCCCGAAAUUCCAGCAACCAACUAAAUCAACCAUACUCCAACAAUAGCUUCGGGUAAAUCUCUCUCAUCCGAUUCUCUUUCUCCCACAUAAUUUUCUACUGAAUGAUUUCCUUCACAAAGCUUUUACCACUUACUCUGUCUUAAUUCUCAGGACCUUCUUUUUCCAAUCCAAAGUCGUCCAUAGCUCCUCACUAAUUAGAUCUAGCUUAAUUCUCAAUAGUUGCACCAGAAUUCCAUGAGACGACUCUGCCACCUAGUGACAACGCAUCGAACCCAAAAUACAUUAUGUGCCUUAGCCAAUUUUGAAGGCAUCACAAACUUGUAUGCAACUUCGUCGAUUCCUUUAAUGAUCAAAACGGACUGAUGUGUUCAAGACUUAUCUUGUCUUCCUUUCUGAAUCUUACUAUUUCUGUUCAUGGUGAAUUUUCCAAAAUAUUGAAUCAUGAAACACAUCAUGCACUUACGACAACUCUAGAAGCCAUUCAAUUCUAUAAUCAACUUCACCAACCUUUCGAUGAUCACGCUAAGUCCGAUUCAUUUAGGAUUUAACUUGCCUUCCUUUCCAACCCGAAUUAUACUUUUCUAUGGUGAACACUUCGAAAAUAUAAAACCAUUUACCUUAUAUACUCGAUUAGUGGCAUAUCCAUCUGUUGAUCUCUUUUGCCAUUCCUGGUUACUUCAGGUUAACUUAAUCACUUGAAUACUUUGAGGAGACUCAUCCAUAGUCUCAGGGUCUACUAAAACUCUUUCUUGAUCGAAUCUUUCUCUAUUCAGAAGCAUUCCAUCCACAAAUCAGCAAAAAUCGACACACAUGACACAUUUCAUGGACCUUAUGGCGUUACUUCGGAAACUGCGCCACCAACAUACUUAAGAAACUCAACAGUUCCGUAAACCAAUUCUCCUAUCCAUAAAACAAAUAAGUACUGUUGCACUGUUUGGGAAAGGUUGUUACUCAACACUGGAGUAAAUGUACUAACUUGUUACGUUAACCCACUAUUACUUUAAAUUCGACCAUGACCAUCUUGUGUACAAGGAAGCUUGUACACAUAAUCCAAAGUAAUCUUUUUCCAUUUCCGCUGCGAAACAGAAAAUAGCUGUCUCAAUCCAAGGUUUAUUUCUUUCUGCCUUAAUCUGCUGACCAAUAAAAAUGUCAAAUGGUAUGAUAAAUCUUAUUACUUUUGGAAUAUUGCAGAAGUUGAACAGUGAACUUCGUCCAAUAUUUGCUUGCUUCAAAUCCUCAGCAUUAGGCACAUACUUUUUGUUUUCUUGUAUCCACAUACCAUUUGAUUCACGAAUCAUGUACUCAUUCUUUUUCCCUUCUUUCUCUGCCUUGGUUAAUUCUUAAAUUUCCUCGUCAAACAUUUAAGUUUCGAGUACGACCUUAUCAAACAGGCCUAACUUGAAAAUUAACAAGUAUAACUUCUUCUCGAUCUUUCAUUCUUAACUUUUCUUCCGUUGGUUUUCAAUCCACAAGAUGAUACUCUUGGCAAACGUGCCAGACAUUAAUCUUACUGCAAUCUUUUCACCAAGUGUAUCAGCUAGAACAAUUUUACGAUCACCCUGGUCGUACAAUCAUAUACAUUAAACAAUUCAAUUUACCUUCGCUACCUCAGAUCAAAAUCCUUCCGAGUAAUGGAUAUUGAAGACUUUUUGGAUUCGUAAAAAUCUUGCAUUCUUACCAAAUAUAAUGCCUUCAUAACUUCACAGCAAGAAUGGUAAUCAUGACUUCCAAGUCACCCGUAGGGUAAUUCAUCUCAUGAGGUUCCAUUUAUCGUGAAACGUAUGCAAUCACCCUAACAUUUGCAUCAACAUGCCUCCAAUACCAUUCAAGAAACAUCACUAAAAAUUUAUGAUUACCACUAUUCUCUGGGAAUACCAAAAUACGUGCAUGAGUGAGGAAAUACUUCAGUUGUUGAAUCCUUUGCUCACAAUUUCCUUCCCACUCAUACAUAACCUCUUUUCUCAACAGUCUCGUCAAUGACAAAGCAAUGACUAAAAACUCUUUCACAACCAUUCAAGAUAGCCUGGUAAGUUAAGAAAUUCCAAAUCUCAAUUAUGACUCGUGGUUGUUCCAAAUUCUCAAUUUCUGCUAUCUUUUAAGGAUUCACUUGAAUACCUUAAGCAGAUAUAACCAAUCUCAGAAUGCCACUUGAUUCAUCCAACAUUCGCAUUUGCUAAACUUAGCAUACAAUCGACAUUCUUCCAAUCUUUGUUCCACCGACUUAAUACGUUUACAUACUCUGCUCUGGCUCAGAAUAUGCCAGAAUAUCUUCAAUGAAAAUGAUAUCACUUUAUCAAGUCAUUAUUGGAAUACUUCAUCCAUCAACUCAUAAAACAGCAUGAGUAUCCAUAUAGCAUCACCAAACUUCAUAAAGACUAUAACAAGUCCAGAAAAACCAUCUUAUGAUCAACGUCACUUAUAAUAUUCAAUUGGUAGUAACCAGAUCUCAAUUCAAUCUUUGAAUCUUCGCAAUUACUUCUGAGCUGGUUAAAUAAACAUCAGUACAUCACCAUGGAUAACGAUUCUCGAUCGUUACCAAUUCCAUUGUCUAUAAUCAAUGGAUAGCCUUAAAAUCCAUUUUCUUCCUCACCAACGAACUGGGGCUCCCCCAAAGCGUUGUACUAAGUUGAAUAAAACUUUUAUCAACCAAUUCUUUCAACUGAAUUUCCAAUUCCCUUAACUCAUCAUGAACCAAUCUCCAAUAUAAAUUUAUACCUGGCAACAAAUCAAUAAUGAACCUUAUAUCUCUGCCUGAAGACAAUCCAGGUAUACUUUCAGGGAAGACAUCAAGAAAAGUCUAACCCUUUUGACAUUAUUCACACUACUCCAAACAACAUCAUUUAGCACCACAUGAGCUAAGUAUUUUUGACAGCCUUUCGAAAACAAUCUCUUUGCUCUCACAGCAUAAAUAACGGCCCGACUCAAUCCACUUUGCAUACUUACAAAAGAAAUCUCUGGUCAUCUAGAUCGAUGGAAAGUACUGGUUUCCCGUAACAUUCCGUCUUGUCACAAUUAUAACCAACCAAUCUAAUGGAAUAAAAUUAACUGACCCAAUACAUACUUUAUUAUUACUGAACAUUCUGAAUAAUUACAACACUAACAUAAAAUAACCUACUGGUUUGCUUGCUUAACGAAUCCACGAAUGAGUUAUUAAUAUUACGGUCUGCAGCCCGCAAUACUGAUAAAUCAUCGUUGUCUCGAUAAGUAGGCAACCACUCUCAAAGAUAUAACAUUACUAUUUUGUCACUCAAUGCAAAAUACAUACACUCGUCUCAACUACAUUUAUUUACUACUCUCUAGGUAAUAACAUACAUAAUAAGAAAUAUAUCAGCCGAAGUCAACUAGAAUGACCAAUACGGCUGAUUCAACUCUUAUCUCAAUAAUACGUCGGCCGGAUCCACUCCGCGUGGUCGGUACGGCCGAGCCUAUAACUCACCAAUUUCUCAUGCGUCAGCCAGAUCCACAUCUCGUGGCCUGUAUGGCUGAACAUAUAACUCAUCAAAUCUCUCUGUACCCACGGUCAAUCCGACCAAACUACUAAGUCCAUAAACCUGCUGAAUCGAUACUACGAUGUCAUAGAAAACUGUUGGGUACAACUGAGUUUAGGGACGAUUCAUAAUUCUGUGUCCCCUCUGUUCACAUAAACACAUUCCUUGAUUUCACAUUUCUCAAAGUGUUAAUUUUGUACCUGCUGCACAAGGUACAUUUCCUUUACUCGAGACACCUUGUCUCAAAUAUCUGGGAUUACCAGUAUAUCCAUCACUUUUACUCUGACCAGCGACAUUAAAACCUCAGCUGGAAGAAUUAACUCUAGCUUCACUUCUUUCAAAGCUCUGAAUCUUUCUAUAUCCUUGAUAUGACGAAUCAUUAACUUUAUCGUCUUAUUUUAAUUCCCAAUCUUUUCUUAUUCUUCUUUACUCUCGUUGAUCAUGUUCUCAGAGUCCUCAAGGCUCAACAACAUCUCGUAUACUCCUGGUAAUAAAUACAAUGGAUAGUGGUCACCCAAAAUACCACUUCCCUUUUUGCCACCCAGCUUAAAACAACAUAACACCUCCACCAACUUAACAACAAUAUCUGGAUGGAACGAGGCAAGUCUGAAAACUUUCUAUAAUAUUCAUUUGUCGUCAACUUCCUUGAUUCACAUUUGCAAACUCUUGUUUACUACCAUCGAUCAAUGCCGGAGGGAUAAACUUUUCCUUAAACAAGUCCUUAAACAACUCUCAAUCGACUGUUCCUCCGGUGACAACAAAUCAUACUCCUGUUUCCACCAGGAUACAAAUUCAUAACCAAAACCAGGUAGUCGUCUCGACCCCUUGUCAGAAGGAAAUUUCCUUUGACUUGCAUAAUCUGAAACAUCUUUUCCAAAUGGUUAAACCGUUACUUCGCUCCCUCAGGUUCAUCAUUCCAUAAGGUGAUUCAAAUUCAACUCAUAACCCGUCUUAAAAUGUCCCUUUUUAUAAUAGACUGAAUCACCAUAAUAAUAGUUUUCCCUAAACCGCUAUAUUAGGGAGACUAAAUUCCUCUAACUAAGUGGCUUGCUACGAGGCGGUGUAGUUCUGACAGAAUUCACUAGAACUUCUCAAAAUGUCCAAGAUUGCAACCAUGCUCUGAUACCAACUGACACACCCCGUCCCGAAGGAGGGCAUGCUGGCCGUCACGUGAGAGUGACGUAACCAUUUGCACAGUACGGAAGCUUUAAGAUACCAUUUAUAAGUUGAUACACCCGAAGGUGAGUCCUAAUUUGAUCCAUUCUGUCAGAACCCCGCUGAAUUCCUCGUAGCCACCACACCUCAGCUAUUCUUUAACCUGGAGGGGCGC
rnacentral:lncRNA from 1 species